CUCGGUUUUCCAUCUUUUCAAGGACGACAAUAUCCGGCCGGUUGUGCGCUAUUGGCCUGUCCGUUAUCAGUGGAUGGUCCCAAUACACCCUCACAGCAUCAUUCUCCUGAACUUGUUUAGGGCGAUGGCUUGAUGGAUUACUUUUGCCAUGGCAUUGUGUCGAUCAGUGUAUUCCCUGGGAGCGAGCACUGGGCAAGAUGAUGUGACAUGCUGAAUUGUUUCUGGUGCCUGAGAGCAUUUACGGCAUCUGUCGCUGGGAAUAUUUCUUCCCGUUAUGUUUUUCUGGUACGCUCUCGUAGGAACCACCUGAUCCUGGAUCGCUGCCAGUCUACCCUCCGUUUCUGGAAAGAGGACCGUUGGAUAUCUUCCGUGGAGUGCCUUGCCAUGCCAUUCUUCGCAUAGUUCCUCGAUGGUUGAAGGUUCAGCCAGAUGAUGUUCAGAAGCCAGGUUCAGCGCCGUAAUACCUUGAUCUUCCCUGGAGAGAGCUUUAUAGAAAGGUAAGUGUUUUGAUUUAAAAUAUUCUCUCAUAUCCUUGACUGUAUUGUGGUGUAUGGUUUCGAUGUUUUGCAUACCUCUGCCCCCUUUAUUCCUCGGUAUGUAUAGUCUAUUUACUGAGG